rnacentral:lncRNA from 1 species
UCCACCGUGAGAACCAGAGCUUUGUUCUCCCCAGGAUCCCGGAGACGCGCCAUUGUUACUUCGGGACACCUGGGGGCCGCGUAAGGACAGGAAAUUUUUGUUUUUCAAAUAGAAUUGACGAAUAAAAGCAAAUAACUACUUCUUUUGUGAAGUCUUGGAAAAUGCUACCUAAAAUGGAGUCCCCGUGGUCAGAGAGACACAUUCGAGGAACCUAAGAUCAUCAAGAGGCUGCGGCUGAGCUGUGGCCUAGCCACUUGCCGCUGUGACCCCCACUGACCAAUCAGCUGUGGACUCCUGGACUUUGUUGAUCGCCUGCACCAACCAGCCCGGCUUUGCCUUCUUUGACUCAAGCCCUUUGUUCUCUUUCCCACACACACUGUUAGUUUUAUUCGAAUCUUUGUAUUCCGAAUUGCAGCUUCUAAGACCCUAAAGAAAGCUGUCUUGGUUUUUUUCAGCCUCGAUAUUGAUAACUGGUUAUUCUUGUAGCAUUUUCUAAGGUUAUUAAAACAUGUUCUGCAGGUAGCUAGCUUGUAAAGCUAAGCGGGACAACGUCAUGGUCAUCAGCGGUCACACAGUGCCCUCUGGUGGCUCCGUGAGAAAACGACACGCAGGCUCCAGGACACCAUGGUAAACUGACAUUGAAAUAAUGCUAUUAGGUCAAAGUCCUCUAAUAUUCAGCGUUUUGGGAGUGCCUUAUCGAGGAAGUCCCUGUUGAGGACUUCAGGUAGAGAUGCAACAGGAGGUGGGAUUCGGUUUGUGGUGUCUGUAAGACAGCAAUCCAGAGGUGUGUAAACCCCUAGCCCUGAGCCUGACUGCUGAGGGUGGAGACGCAGAACUGCCACCCCCAGACCCGCAGUGAGCACCUGCCACAGCCCCCAGCCUCCCGGGGAAGCUGGGUCCAGCCCCACCUUCAUUGUUCUAUUCACUCAGCUCCCACACUGCUGGCCUGGCCACCAGGGGCCCCACUGCUGAACACAAACACACUUACCACGCUAUGCUGUUCUUCUCCACAAUGCAAUUUUUUUUUUCCCUCUGUACCGGAGAUUGAGCUCAGGACCUUGUAUUCGAGAGACAAGCGCGGUGCCACUGAGCUAAAUCCCUGGCCCUUCCACAAUGUUACCUCAAUAAAUUUUGGAAUUUGAAAUGGACAAAGUAUUUGAAAGAAGAACAAAAAGAAAGGAUUACAGUAAUGAUUGGUGCCUGGCUCUCAUCGCUUUGCAAAGUUAUGAUUUUAAAGGCUUCAUUUUCUAACAUCGAUUUAUUAAAAAUCUACUUAGAAGAUUAGAAGAUAAGACUUUUGACUCUUUAUUCUACUUGUAUCAGUCCUUUUCUUGAGGGCAGAACUUACAGAAACCUAUAGUUUUGUGUGGAAGAUUUGACCAGGUCUGGGGGAUCAUGUGCUGGUGAUGAAGUAAUAGAUUGAAGAAAAUGGAGAACGCAGUGUCCUUGGGCUCUCUAAAAACCACACCCUACUGCUUGGCGAUGUCACUGUGUAUGUAAAAUACUAUGGACUCGGCCAUGUGGUUGUUGUUUUGUGCACUGACACAUUCAUGUCUUCAACAUCGUUGGAGACACACUAUUUACACACUAUUUUCCUGAUUUUUGACUGUCUUCUACUUUUACUUAUAUGGCAUCUGGAAGGAGACCCCCCCCCCCCCCACACACACACAGCAGAGCAGCUUGAGUCAG